rnacentral:rRNA from 1 species
AUUGAACGCUGGCGGCAGGCCUAACACAUGCAAGUCGAACGAGUGGCGGACGGGUGAGUAAUGUAUGGGAAACUGCCUGAUCGAGGGGGAUAACUACUGGAAACGGUAGCUAAUACCGCAUACCAUCAGAUGUGCCCAGAUGGGAUUAGCUAGUUGGUGGGGUAAAGGCUCACCAAGGCGACGCUCCCUAGCUGGUCUGAGAGGAUGAACAGCCACAGUGGAACUGAGACACGGCCCAGAAGCCUACGGGAGGCAGCAGUGGGGAAUAUUGCACAAUGGGCGCAAGCCUGAUGCAGCCAUGCCGCGUGUAUGAAGAAGGCCUUGGGGUUGUAAAGUACUUUCAGCGGGGAGGCGUUACCCGCAGAAGAAGCACCGGCUAACUCCGUGCCAGCAGCCGCGGUAAUAC